AAGCUACACUCUGUGUCAGAAGUCCUCUGGGAUGAUGAUCUGACUCAAUUUGAGCUUUGCCAUAAUAAACCAGUUUGUUUCUAAACAGCAUUUCCCCUUUGAUUGGAGAAAUGCAGGAGAGGCUGGAACAAG
rnacentral:snoRNA from 1 species